GAAAGUGUAAAAUCCUAUUCCAAUUUAUUAUUGAAAAAGGUUUAUUAUAUGUUAGCUAUUUCUUUGUUUUCUAAUACAUAUCCCUUUGAAUCUUCUUUCUGAUAAUGCUAGUUUUCUUUCUCAUUUUAAAGUCAUCAAUACUAAAUAUAGAAAGACUGUAAUUUCAUCAAAAUGUAUAUAUCAAAACAAAACAAGAAUCGGAUACUGUAAAGUUGGUUUACAGGACAUUGGAAGCUGUGAUAACACUAUAACUCAAAAUUUUAAAGUUCAAACACAGAUUAAGAUGACAGGAAGAGAGGCAGCUAAUAUCAAAUGCAUUGUGUGAUGAUCUACAUAUGUAAGUCCAGGAUUAAGAAGACAAUGGCAAUAAAAAUGGGUCUAUGUGCAUUCUUCUACAUGCUGAACUCCAGUUGAACCAGUACCAUUUGUUGAAAAUGCUAUCUUUUUUCCACUGGAUGACUUUAGCUCCUUGGUCAAAGAUCAAGUGACCAAAAGUGUGUGGGUUCAUUUCUGGGUCUUCAGUUCUAUUCCAAUGAUCUACCUGCCUGUCUCUGUACCAAUACCAUACAAUUUUUAUCACUAUUGUUCUGUAAUACAGCUUGAGGUCAGGAAUGGUGAUCCCCCACAGAAGUUAUUUUAUUGUUAAGGAUAGUUUUCGCUAUCCUAGGUUUUUGGUUAUUCCAAAUGAAUUUGCAAAUUGCUCUUUCUAACUCUAUGAAGAAUUGAGUUGGAAUUUUGAUGGGGAUUGCAUUGAAUUUAUAGAUUUCUUUGGCAAGAUGGCCAUUUUUACAAUCUUAAACCUGCCAAUUCAUGAGCAGAGGAGGUCUUUCCAUCAAGUGUGGAUGCUUCAGUCCUUUUUAGAGGGGGGAACACAAAUAUUCAUAGGAGGAAAUACAGAGAAAAAGUUUGGAGCAGAGACUGAAGGAAUAGUCAUUCAGAGCCUGCUCCACCUGGAGAUCCAGCCCAUAUACACACAGCUACCAAACCCACAUAACAUUGAUGAUAUCUAGAAGUGUAUGCAACAAGAGUCUGAUAUAGCUGUCUCCUGAGAGACUCUGCCCGAGCACGACAAAUACAGAGGUGAAUGCUCACAGAAAACCAUUGAACUGAGAAUAGGGUUGCCAUUGGAG
ensembl:lncRNA